rnacentral:rRNA from 1 species
AGCGAAACUGCGAAUGGCUCAUUAUAUAAGUUAUCGUUUAUUUGAUAGUACCUUACUACUUGGAUAACCGUGGUAAUUCUAGAGCUAAUACAUGCUAAAAAUCCCGACUUCGGAAGGGAUGUAUUUAUUAGAUUAAAAACCAAUGCCCUCUGGGCUCUUUGGUGAUUCAUGAUAACUUCUCGAAUCGCACGGCCUUGCGCCGGCGAUGGUUCAUUCAAAUUUCUUCCCUAUCAACUUUCGAUGUUUGGGUAUUGGCCAAACAUGGUUGCAACGGGUAACGGAGGGUUAGGGCUCGACCCCGGAGAAGGAGCCUGAGAAACGGCUACUACAUCCAAGGAAGGCAGCAGGCGCGCAAAUUACCCAAUCCCGACACGGGGAGGUAGUGACAAUAAAUACUGAUACAGGGCUCUUUUGGGUCUUGUAAUUGGAAUGAGUACAAUUUAAAUCCCUUAACGAGGAACAAUUGGAGGGCAAGUCUGGUGCCAGCAGCCGCGGUAAUUCCAGCUCCAAUAGCGUAUAUUAAAGUUGUUGUGGUUAAAAAGCUCGUAGUUGAACCUUGGGCCUGGCUGGCCGGUCCGCCUCACCGCGUGUACUGGUCCGGCCGGGCCUUUCCCUCUGUGGAACCUCAUGCCCUUCACUGGGUGUGACGGGGAAACAGGACUUUUACUUUGAAAAAAUUAGAGUGCUCCAGGCAGGCCUAUGCUCGAAUACAUUAGCAUGGAAUAAUGAAAUAGGACGUGUGGUUCUAUUUUGUUGGUUUCUAGGACCGCCGUAAUGAUUAAUAGGGACAGUCGGGGGCAUCAGUAUUCAAUUGUCAGAGGUGAAAUUCUUGGAUUUAUUGAAGACUAACUACUGCGAAAGCAUUUGCCAAGGAUGUUUUCAUUAAUCAGGAACGAAAGUUAGGGGAUCGAAGACGAUCAGAUACCGUCGUAGUCUUAACCAUAAACUAUGCCGACUAGGGAUCGGACGAUGUUAUUUUUGACGCGUUCGGCACCUUACGAGAAAUCAAAGGCUGGG